rnacentral:lncRNA from 1 species
AUGAGGGGCACUCAAUUCACAUGGUACGAGGGGUCACAAGGCUUCCUGGGAUCUGUUGGCUACUUCUCCCGCCUGCUCUGUGCCCCCAGGAAGCUGACCCAGAUGGACUACAUUAGCAGGCUGCUUUGCCCUCUGACUUCGGGUUGUGUACGGCCAGGGAGAGGCAUCAGGAGGAGAUUAGCAGGUGGAAGAAGAAUGAGGUUGGGUAUUUAUUCCCUAGAGCAUGGCCCGACAGGGUUGCCUAUGGUUGACUGCAUUGCUCCACCCAAGGUCUUGGCUUCUGUUGGAUGCCCGUCUCUACAGCUCUUCCUUUGAGUUAUAGAUGCCUUCACUUGUCCUUUCAGACCUACAGGGAGGCUUCCUGUAGGGAUGAAAAUUCCCCAGAUGGAGUAAGAAAAAAAGCCAUUACUUAUUUAUUCAAUCAAUGCAUAUCUAUUGAACAUUCAGAUAUCAGACCCAUUUGAGUGACAAUCCUGAGCUUGGAAGUUUUAAUAAUGGUGGGAAAAGGGGGAAGGAAUAAGUCAGAAACAGAGGGGUCAUCAAGAAGGACAGGUGAGGGUUAAGAGCUGCAUGGACAUCUGUUUGUUCACCUUUCACCCCUCCCCCUUCUUUCCUGUUUGAGUACAUUCCAUGUGGAUCAGGUGGAACCAAGCACCCUUCAUCCUAUUGCCACCCUAUCCCCAAAGAGGUGGACAAAUGAUCCAGGCUCAUCUCAUCAGAAUACGGCAUUCUCCAGGCUACAGAGAUGAGUUUACAGAGGACUGUGACCCAUGCAAGGCCAAUCAGAGUCCUUCAACAUGAUCUGACAAAGGGGUACUGGGAGAGAGGGGAAGCCAGUAUUUAACAACACCAGGUACCAGGUACUAUUUUCAAAAGCAUUAUUGACUAUUUCUUCACAAUGUCUUUUCAAAAUGGAAGUUUACUAUCCUCAUUUUACAAACGAGAAGACUAAGACUCAGGAAGGUUAAACAUCUUGCCCAAAAACACAGAGCUAGAAAAUGGCAGAGCCAGGAUUCCACAGUCCAAACAUUGCCUUUACUCUGUUGUUCAGAAUACAAUCAUCGCCACAAAAGACAUACGAUUCAGUAAUUUGGCAAUUACUUUCCUUAAAUUCAAAUGAAACCAAUACCCAGCCCGAGUCUGGGAACCGGGAAUGCUCACAGAGAAGAGAGGUCUGAAGUGGAGGCGAGUCAAGAGGAGAAUUUCUUGAACCCGGGAGGCGGAGGCUGCAGUGAGCUAAGAUCACACUACUGUACUCCAGCCCCGGCAACAGAGCGAGACUCCAUCUGAAAAAAAAAAAAAAAAGAACCCAUGAGUCCAUACUGAUACAUGGAUAAUAUGGAAGAAGGAAACUCUUUCUUAAAUUAGAACACCCACUAAUAAAUGUAGAAGGAAUGAUGGAAAUAGAAAACCAUCACUUGGCAACUAUCAUAAUAAUAAUUGAUUCAAGCAUCUAUUGAUAUGGAUGUUAAAACUAGUGGGUGAAAAAUUUAAUGAUUAAGAAGGUAUUUAUAUAGCCUCAAAGGCUCUCUGUCAAAAGAUAAUAAUUAAUUAUAAAGGGGAAAAUAAUAACUUUAUAGUGGAGAAAGCAACGUCACCUUAACCAAAGUUAACAUCAUCAGUAAUGGGAGAGAUGAACAUUGUGUGCCUCCUGAAAUCAUUCACUAAAACGAGCACAAUGUACUUUUAUAAUAUCCCUGCCAAAAAUCCAUAACCUGAAUCUAAUCAGCUGAGAAACCCAAGUCACACUAAGGGGCAUUAUGCUAAAUGACUCACACUCUUCAAAAAUGUCAAUGUCAUUAAUGACAAAGGAAGAACUAGAACUAUUCAAAAUGAAAGGAGGUCAAAGAGACAUGAAACUGAAUACAACACAUCAUCCAGGACUUACUCUUUCUAUAAAGGGGAGUAUUGGGACAAUUGGUGAAAAGAUAGACAGAUAGAUAGAUAUUAGAUAGGAAUAUUAAUGAAAGCUAUACAUUAGAUAAUAGUGUUCUGUCAAUUUUAAUUUUCAUAAAUUGAUAAUUUUACUGUGAUUCUGUAAGAGAAAAAUCCUUCUUUUUAGAAAAUACAUACUAAAACAUGUAGGGGUAAAAGGACACCAUGUUUGCAACUUUCAAAUAUUUUAGAAAUAAAAUAAUGUGUGUGUUUGUGUUUGUGUAUAUGUGUGUCUAGUGAAAGAGAAAUCAAAUGAAGAAAAAUGCUAAUACCUGAGGAAUCUGGAGAAAGAAUAUACAAGAAUUAUUUGUAUUAUUCUUGCAACUUUGCUACAAGUUUUAGAUUAGGUCAAAAUAAAAAGAAUUUUAAAAAUAGGAAGUAAGCAUUCAGUAGGGGCAUCUGAUCUAGACCAUGCUAGAAGCUUUAUCUGGAAAAGCUUCUCAGAGAAAGUAACUUUGAAGCUGAUACCCACUGUCAUUCUCUUGUGAUUGUCCAGUUAUCUCCUACUUUAAAGGCAGGAACUUUGUUGAUUCUUCUUACAUGUGUUUUCAGUUCCCAGUACUGUGCCUCAAUAAAUAUUGAUUAAUUGAUUGAUUGGUUGGUUGGUUGGUGGGAUGGAGAGAUGAGACAUAAUCUUAGCCUUUAAGAAAUCUAUAAGAGAAUUCACCGAAAGGCACAAAAAGAUAACACAUUUCAUACAUCUUAAGAAAAGAAUUAUAGUCUCUGACCCAACAUUUCUAUUUUUAAAAAAUAAUUCCAAUUUUUUACAAAAAUUAGCUGGGCAUGGUGAUGGGCAUCUGUAAUCCUAGCUACUUGGGAAGCUGAGGCAGGAGAAUUGCUUGAAUCCAGGGGGCGGAGGUUGCAGUGAGCUGAGAUCGCACCAUUGCACUGCAGCCUGGGCAACAAGAGCAAAACUCUGUCUCAAUAAUAAUAAUAAUAAUAAUUCCAAUUUUUAUUUGAGAUUCAGUGGGUACAUGUCCAGGUUUGUUACAUGGGUAUAUCGUGUGAUCCUGAGGCUUGGGGUACAACUGAUCUUAUCACCCAGGAAGUGAGCAUAGUACCCAACAGUUUUUUAAUCCAUUUCCCCCUCCUUCCAACCCCUCUCUACUAGUCCCCAGUGUCUAUUGUUACCAUCUUUAUGUCCCUGAGUACCUAAUGUUUAGCUACCGCUUAUAAAUAAGAACAUGUGGUAUUUGGUUUUCUGUUCCUGCAUUAAUUUGCUUAGGAAUUAGCUGCAUCCAUGUUGCUGCAAAGGACAUGAUUUCAUUCUUUAUAUGGCUGCAUAGUAUUCCAUGGUGUAUAUGUGCCACAUUUUCUUUAUUCAAUCCACCAUUGAUGGGAACAUAAGUUGAUUCCAUGUCUUCACUAUUGUGAAUAGUGCUGCAAUGAAAAUACAAGUGCAUGUGUCUUUUGGGUACAAUGGUUUAUUUUCUUUUGGAUACAUACCCAGUAAUGGGAUUGCUGAGUCAAAUGGUAUUAAGAGUUCUGGUGUAAGCUCUUUGAGAAAUAUCCUAACUACUUUCCACAGUGACUGAAAAAAUUUACAUUCCCACCAACAGUGUUUAAGUGUUUCCUUUUCUCCACAGCCUCACCGGUAUCUAUUGUUGUUUUGACUUUUAAACAAUAGCCAUUCUGAUUAGUGUGAGAUGGUAUCUCAUUGUGGUUUUGAUUUGCAUUUCUCUGAUGAUUAGUGAUGCUGAGCAUUUCUUCAUAUGUUUGUUGGCCACUUGAAUGUCUUCCUUUAAAAAGUGUCUGUUCAUGUCUUUUGCCCACUUUUUAAUGGGGUUGUUUGUUUUUUGCUUGUUGAAUUGUUUAGGUUCCUUAUAGGUUUUGGAUAUUAGACCUUUAUCAGAUGCAGAGUUUGCAAAUAUUUUCCCCCAUUCUGCACGUUGUCUUUUAUUCUGUUGAUAGUUUAUUUUGCUGUGCAAAAGUUCUUUAGUUUAAUUAGGUCCUGCUUGUCAGUUUUUGGUUUUAUUGCAAUUGCUUUUAAGGACUUAGCCAUAAAUUAUUUCCCAGUGCCAGUGUUCAGAGUGGUGCUUCCUAGGUUCUCUUUUGAGAUUCUUGUAGUUUGAGGUCUUACAUUUAAAAUCUUUAAUCUGGCCUGGCGCAGUGGCUCACAUCUGUAAUCCCAGCACUUUGGGAGGCCAAGGUGGGCAGAUCACCUGAGGUCAGGAGUUUGAGACCAGCCUGACCCACAUGGUGAAACCCUGUCUCUACUAAAAAUACAAAAAUUAGCCAGACAUGAUAGUGGGUGCCUGUAAUCCGAGCUACUCGGGAGGCUGAGGCAGGAGAAUUGCUUGAACCCAGGAAGUGGAGAUUGCAGUGAGCCGAGAUCCCGCAACUGCACUCCAGCCUGGGUGCCAGGGUGAGACUCAGUCUCAAAAAAAUAAAAUAAAAUAAAAUAAUAUAUUUAAUUCAUCUUGAGCUAAUUUUUGUACAUGGUGAAAGUCAGAGAUCUAUUUUUUAUUCUUCUGCAUAUGACUAGCCAGCUAUUCCAACACCAUUUAUGAAAUAGAGAGUCCUUUCUCCGUUGCUUGUUAUUGUUGACUUUGUUGAAGAUCAGACGGUUGAAGGUAUGUGGCUUUAUUUCUGACUUCUCUAUUCUGUUUCAUUAGUCUGUCUAUUUUUGUACCAGUGCCAUGUUGUUUUAGUUACUGUAGCUUUGGUACAGUUUAAUUUUGGGUAAUUUGAUGCCUCAGGCUUUGUUCUUUUUGCUUAGGAUUGCCUUGGCUAUUCUGUUCUUUCUUGGUUCCAUAUGAAUUUUAGAACAGUUUAUUCUAAUUCUGUGGAAAAAUGACAUUGGUAGUUUGAUAGGAAUAGUGUUGAAUCUGUAAAUUGCUUUGGGCAGCAUGGCCAUUUUAAUGAUAUUGAUUCUUUCAAUCUAUGAGCAUGGAAUAU